GCUCCUUCUACCCUAGGAUCUCAGAACACUUUACAAACAUCGGUGAACACCAAACACCAAAAAAAGAGCCACUGUACUCACCAGCCAAGACCUCCAGCUUGUUAGCAGAGUCCUCUGCCCUUCAAAUGAUCUUGCAGUAGGUGUGAUAUAAUCACCACUGCAGACAACAUCUGGGUACUUCAUAGCUUUAGAGAGCAGCCCCAACAGUCCUCAGAGCAGAGGUCAGAUGCAGCCUUUGGCCAAGUAAGAGGAGGAUGGUGACAUCUGUUGCCAAGCAGUGCUAGAAACUAUGGCAUCAACAAGAUGGUGACCCCAAAGGGCUUACUAUAGAGUAUAGACCUUCAUCAUGAGAGAUCACUGACUCCACAGAGACAGAGGUGAUGUCCUAGUAACGUUAAGUAACUCAUGAUAUAUGAUGUGGUCACCCCUUCUGCCAAGUUCGAGCAUGCCUGUUCUUGAUGUUUGCUGAUUCUCUUGGGGGAAUCUAGUUAAAUGACCAGCAAUAAUGAGAUCUUGACUUUCCUGGGGUUCCUGUUGAUAAUGCUCUCUUCAUGGAGGUAGCCAGCAGAGGCUCAGAUGUCCGAAUCCCCGGGCAGAAUCAAAGCACUACAGAGCUUCUCUCUUUCCAAACGCUCCUGGACAUGUACUGCAUCUGUCACGAUGACAGGAGUCCAGGCAACCACAAAGUAAUAAGGAUUUACCAGCAGGUGCAGAGGACUUCAAAAAGUUAGUUUAAAAUUAUUUCUGUGUUGAAUGCCCCCUGCAACAUAGUUUGAAGGGAAGUUAGACCAGAA